AUUGAACGCUGGCGGCAGGCCUAACACAUGCAAGUCGAGCGGAUGAAGGGAGCUUGCUCCUGGAUUCAGCGGCGGACGGGUGAGUAAUGCCUAGGAAUCUGCCUGGUAGUGGGGGAUAACGUCCGGAAACGGGCGCUAAUACCGCAUACGUCCUGAGGGAGAAAGUGGGGGAUCUUCGGACCUCACGCUAUCAGAUGAGCCUAGGUCGGAUUAGCUAGUUGGUGGGGUAAAGGCCUACCAAGGCGACGAUCCGUAACUGGUCUGAGAGGAUGAUCAGUCACACUGGAAGUGAGACACGGUCCAGACUCCGACGGGAGGCAGAAGUGGGGAAUAUUGGACGAUGGGCGAAAGCCUGAUCCAGCCAUGCAGCGUGUGUGAAGAAGGUCUUCGGAUUGUAAAGCACUUUAAGUUGGGAGGAAGGGUAGUAAGUUAAUACCUUGCUGUUUUGACGUUACCAACAGAAUAAGCACCGGCUAACUUCGUG
rnacentral:rRNA from 1 species